GAUAGAAGCCAUUAACAUUUCCCCGUCAGGUGGUAGCAUUGUGCCAAGCUCCAUUUCUAUUGGAUGACCCUAAUGUCGGGCUUUUAUUCCCAGCAGAUGUCAUUGCAAGAGCUAAACAUUAUCUUUCAUUGAAUUCGGGUGGUUUAGGUGCAUAUAGUGAUUCUCGAGGACUUCCUGGAAUUAGGAAAGAAUUUGCAGAGUUCAUUGAAAAAUCUAUGCAUGAGUUGGACUUUUUUAUUUCUUCUUCUAACUCUUGACAUUUUAUAUGGCCGAUAAGUCAUUUGCAAGGGAUGUUCAAUCGAACUAUCAGAUUAUUAGAAGCAGAUAUGUAUUUGACGGUCAACCUCCAGAGCUGAAGAAACAAGAAUUUGCCAAAA